UAAGUCCCGCAACGAGCGCAACCCUUGUUANUUAGUUNGCCAYGCAUUNAAGNUUGGGCACUCUAAUGAGACUGCCGNGUGACAAACCGNGAGGAAGGUGGGGAUGACGUCAAGUCAUCAUGCCCCUUAUGACCUGGGCUACACACGUGCUACAAUGGGCAGUACNAACGAGAAGNCGAGCCUGCGAAGGCAAGCGAAUCUCUG
rnacentral:rRNA from 1 species